AAGAAUCUGGUAAGGAAAAACAAAUCUUUUUAACGAGAGAAACCAAAAACUAAAAUUUACAGUCAUAUAUUUGAAAAUAUAUUUUUAAAUUUAAAACGAUGAAAAAUAUUCUACAUCUCCAUAUGUUAUAACAAUUCUGAAUGGUAUGAAUCUCUUUGUCUUUUAAACUUUCGAUUGACAAAUCAAUUAAGUCGUUACUGCAUUAUGAAAGUAGUUAUUUAAUCGACUCGUCAACUGAAAGUUUCAAAAGUAAAGGAAUUCCUGAAUUGCAUAAGCCAUCUUCAAGGAAUUAUUUACAAUUGGUAAUAGUUAAAUGAUUUCUGAAUUGUCUCUCUCUCUAUAUAAAAUAACAGCAAGAAUUAUAUUUCCUUUUAAUCAACUCAUUUAUUCUAAUUUCCCAAUAAAAUUAUUUUCGAAUUACAGUGUCUAAUUUCUAUUUUCUUUUUUUUUUUUAAGAAACCAAUAUUUCCAAAUAAUUCUCGUAGAAUUAUAUGAUUACAUCCUUUUCCACAGAUCAUCACAUCUUCACAGCCGCAUCCAAUAACGUAUUAUAAAACAGACGAGUCUCGAUCGAUUAGCAUACGUUUUAAAAUCCGCACGAAAAACAUCGGUGUUAUUAAUACGUUAUUUUGCAUAAUGCAUGAUGGAGGGGUGGGUUUCUUUUCUGAUUUGGCCGACGAUCUAGCUCGUUCGUCUUUGUCUUAUAGGGGAAUCGUGAACAGAAUUCGGAGGUUCUUUCACGAUGUGUCGCGGCCGUUUAGAAGGUAAAACAGCACGAUGGAACGUGAUUGUGCAAGAAUCAUAGAAUUAGAAGGACAACCGGAUUCCACGAGCCGUUCAACGAUGAUCGUGCCUUUUGUUUUGUUAGUUGGCGGAUUCCUGAUUAUCGAUUCAGGACAAAUCCUCUUGAAAUUCGAGGAUUACCAGGGAUGAUACGUCUCGCGGAAAGUAGAAGAAGAUCAUAAAGGUCUGGAAGCCUAUGGACGGUUGAAAUCCUGUUGAACUAUUGAAAUCGUUUAAGUUAAACUAUGUUUGGUAUAAUAAAUCCUUCCUGAAAUGUUGGAAAUGUUAGACACGCUCUCGGUAAUAUGGUAAAUCGGUUUGAAAAUUUAAGAGCUUUCGUGGUCAGCUUCUGGGCAAACCGCACAUGAUUCAAUAGUGGAUUUUAAUGAAUUCUAUCAAUUUUCAUUGCAACCGCCUUGCGCAGAUAUGUGCCACUGUACGAAUUCAAUUUCGACCGAUGCUUCUUCCUGUUAUCUUGCUACUGUCGUAAAAAAAUAAUUAGUAGAAGAAAAAGAAUUUUAUUGCACAGAUUUAUCUUAAUUGCCGGUGUUGUGAUAUAUAUAUAUCUGCAACUCUGCUUCCGCUUUUCUUGCGAGCUUCAUUUCUAUAUAGAAGGAAACAACUUUGGUAGAUAAAUUCAUCUAAUGUAUUAUCGUGGAAAUUACUUUUUAUUAUAUGUAAUUAGUUCAACAAUACUUCAAGAGCGUCUAAUUUAUUUCAAGCUUUAUUUCAAACUUCGGAUCUUCACGAUCUUCAUUAACUUCACUUCACAAUACUUCUUACUAAUUCUCCAAUCAAAUUAUAUCAAAUAGGAAAAGCACGAAAACUUAACAAACUUAACAUUAAAAUUCAAAAUAUAAUCAAGGAUAAAUCACUUAACCCCUUAAAUGUCUAUUCAAAGCACCACAACUUUUCCUUCAACUUUCAAAUCCAAUUACACGUCCAAAUCCAAUUAUACGAAACAAAAAGAAAAUCUAUCAAAAAAGAAAAACUUAACAUUUCGUGGGAUUAGAAUAAAUCACCCCAUCCAUAUACAACACAAUAACCCCAAUAAUGUCCACUUGAAUCUCCACACUUCCUCUGAAAAUCCACCGCAAUCCCCGCAAUAAUCCAACCAUUCCGCAUCCAACGCGGCACAUCAACUAAUUUAUCCAUGCACGUAUCCACGAAUCGCGAUGGAGGAAAGUUCUCCUUCUAUCCUUCUGCGAAGGCUUAACUUCCGUUCCCCACGCGCACAAGCGUAAACACGGAUAGAGACAAGGAGAUCGCGUUACGUAAGGUUUAGCAGACAUAUUGUCGGCUCAAUGUUCCAUCCACGGGAUCUCAGUUGGCACAAAGGCACGCUGUGUGCAUCCCCUUCACCCCCAACCCUAUCACGCUCUACGCAACCCCCUUCUUCGCCCUAUGGAUCCGUAUUGUUCCUGCACGUCUAACCGUUAUCUGGCCACGCACCUGAUGGUUCCUCCUGCAAACAUAUUGCGGUUGUGUUGGUACGCGUGGAAAAUGGUUGGUACCACUGCCUGAUGUAUUAGAGGGAUUGAUUUCUGGCAACGUGCAUGCGUUUUAUGAUGAUUUGGAAAAUAAAUCUUUCUGAAAAAUGUGAGGAUAUUAGCGAGAUUUUAGCGAGUUUUUUUUUGAUGUUUGAUUUAUAAUUGUUUGAAGUUCUUUAAAUCUAGCAAUUUUUUAUAAUUCAUCAGUGAAUUCUGCAAUGAAUACGAAUAUUUUAUUCCUGUUACUAUAUUAGAUAUAAUGUUUUAGUUUUUUAUUUUUUUUAAUUUUCUUUUAUUGUUAUUUUCACCAUUGAAACUAAAAUUAUAUAUUUAGAUUUAUAUUAAACUUAUAAAUAUGAGAAAUUAUUCUGAUUAGAACUUUUAUACGGGGAACAAGUUUUAAAACUUUAUUAUCAUUGUUAUAUUAAUUUUUUUUAUCUUUUCUUGUUGUAUCAUAUUAUCAUGUGAUAUAUUAUAGGGGGAUAAUGAAAUGAUUUGGAAUUUAUUUCUUCAAGAUUCCAAGAAAAGAAUUUAUUCUUUUUUUGUUAUAGAUUUACGAAGAUAUUUUUAGGGAUACUAAUUUUUGUUGGAUUUAUCUGAGCUUUCUAUAUAUUUCUAUUCUCUUUCUUUUCGUGGAUAUAAUUUAUGAAGGGAUGAAGAAGGUUAGAAAUAUAAUUUUGGUUAGAAUAUCCUCAAAGAAGAUCAUGGAUAUUCGAAUUUUUCUUUUUUUUUUUUAAGUUAUUGAAUAUAUUGAAUUGUCUAAACUGUACAUAUUUAAUUAUCUUUUUUAUGUAUAUCUGUAUUUGUAUAUUUGUAAUGAAUACGCAAUUGAGAAAGAAGUUGCAAGAGUGGUUCAAAGCUAAUGGAAUUUUUGUCGAGGAAAAACUGAAGAGUUUUAGGAGAGAAGUAACAUAAUUUUACCGAAGUUUCGAGACAUGCUUAAGUGUUCUAUUAAAGGAAAAUUAUUAAAUGAUGUUUUACAUCCUUUGAAGUAAAUUUCAGGCUUAAAAUUAUCUUUUUUAAAUUAUAGAAUUUUUUAAUUCAUUAAAAAAUAAAUUCUUUUAACUUAUCCACUCUCUUCUAAUCAAAUACAAUUCUCUUAUUCGAAAUGAAA